rnacentral:misc_RNA from 1 species
AACGCACAUUGCGCCCUCUGGUAUUCCAUAGGGCAUGCCUGUUUGAGCGUCAUUUCUCUCUCAAACCUUUGGGUUUGGUAUUGAGUGAUACUCUUAGUCGAACUAGGCGUUUGCUUGAAAAGUAUUGGCAUGAGUGUGCUGGAUAGUACGUUCUGAUUAUUCAAUGUAUUAGGUUUAUCCAACUCGUUGAAGGAUCAGGUGUAAAUUUCUGGUUACAUUGGCUCGGCCUUACAACAACAAACAAGUUUGACCUCAAAUCAGGUAAGAAUACCCGCUGAACUUAA